CGCGUGGACCGUUGCAGGGGUAUAACGGCCCCUGGGCGCGCGCCGCGAAGGGACAACCAGCGAGGCAGUGGGAAGAGCACUUUGGGAGGCCGAGGCGGGCGGAUCACUUGCGGUCAGGAGUUCGAGACCAGCCUGGCCAACAUGAAACCCCGUCUCUACUAAAAAUACAAAAAUGAGGUGGGCGUCGUGACGGGCGCCUGUAAUCCCAGCUACUCGGGAGGCUGAGGCAGGAGAAUCGCUUGAACUCGGGAAGCGGAGGUUGCAGUGAGCAGAGAUAGCACUGGACUCCAGCCUGGGCAGCAGAGGGAAACUCCGUCUCAAAAAAAAAAAAAAAAAGGCACUUUUAAUGCAUUCAGUCUGAUUUUUAGAUGUUAGUGGCUUGAAACAACAACAACUUUUCUUUAAGCACUGCGGGGCUGCCAAAUCGAGUGCGUGGACUGUCAUUACAAACCGUGAUGUGUAAGGGACUUUUGAGAUUACUUGAGGAGACACAGGAAAGACAAGGUGGGGGGCAGUGAAUUCCUGAUACCUGUAUUUCAAAUUAAUGUCUUUACAACGCCUAUGCAGUGUUCCGAGUCUUUUCAAUCUUAAAUUUGUGAGCUGGCAGCAUCUGGAGAACAAGGACGCUUGGGCUCACUCUGGAUCCCCCAAACCCCUUGGGAGCCCAUCAGCUCUGAUUUACCCUUCAACUCUCAGCUUGAAGUCACCUUCUCAGGGUAGUCUCCCAGAUUUGGCCUGAUCCCUC
rnacentral:lncRNA from 1 species